GAUGAACGCUAGCGGGAGGCCUAACACAUGCAAGCCGAGCGGUAUUGUUUCUUCGGAAAUGAGAGAGCGGCGUACGGGUGCGGAACACGUGUGCAACCUACCUUUAUCUGGGGGAUAGCCUUUCGAAAGGAAGAUUAAUACUCCAUAACAUAUUGAACGGCAUCGUUUAAUAUUGAAAGCUCCGGCGGAUAGAGAUGGGCACGCGCAAGAUUAGCUAGUUGGUGAGGUAACGGCUCACCAAGGCGAUGAUCUUUAGGGGGCCUGAGAGGGUGAUCCCCCACACUGGUACUGAGACACGGACCAGACUCCUACGGGAGGCAGCAGUGAGGAAUAUUGGUCAAUGGGUGCAAGCCUGAACCAGCCAUCCCGCGUGAAGGACGACUGCCCUAUGGGUUGUAAACUUCUUUUGUAUAGGAAUAAACCUACCCUCGAGAGGGUAGCUGAAGGUACUAUACGAAUAAGCACCGGCUAACUCCGUG
rnacentral:rRNA from 1 species